rnacentral:rRNA from 1 species
UACGUAGGGUGCGAGCGUUGUCCGGAAUUAUUGGGCGUAAAGAGCUCGUAGGCGGUGUGUCGCGUCGGUCGUGAAAACUUGGGGCUUAACCCUGAGCUUGCGGUCGAUACGGGCAUCACUUGAGUUCGGCAGGGGAGACUGGAACUCCUGGUGUAGCGGUGAAAUGCGCAGAUAUCAGGAAGAACACCGGUGGCGAAGGCGGGUCUCUGGGCCGAUACUGACGCUGAGGAGCGAAAGCGUGGGGAGCAAACAGG